rnacentral:snoRNA from 1 species
CAGGAGCCUAAAGAGAAUUCUUUCUGUGGUCUGUUGGCUAUUUCAGAACUUUGGAAAUGUAAUGGUCAAUUCAUCAGAAAGAAACAGCU